AGAGUUUGAUCCUGGCUCAGGAUGAACGCUGACAGAAUGCUUAACACAUGCAAGUCUGCUAGAAAGCUACUUCGGUAGUGAUUAUGGCGGCGGACGGGUGAGUAACGCGUAAAGAAUCUGCCCUAUAGACUGGGACAACAUUUCGAAAGAGGUGCUAAAACCAGAUAGCAUUUACAGGAGGCAUCUCCAGUAAAUUAAACACUAUAUGUGCUAUAGGAGGACUUUGCGUCCUAUUAGCUAGUUGGUAGGGUAACAGCCUACCAAGGCGACGAUAGGUAGCCGGCCUGAGAGGGUGGACGGCCACAAGGGAACUGAGACACGGUCCUUACUCCUACGGGAGGCAGCAGUGGGGAAUAUUGGACAAUGGGCAAAACGCCUGAUCCAGCAAUUCUGUGUGGGUGAAGAAGGUUUUAGGAUUGUAAAGCCCUUUCAGUUGGGAAGAAGUAAGUGACGGUACCAACAGAAGAAGCAACGGCUAAUUACGUGCCAGCAGCCGCGGUAAGACGUAAGUUGCAAGCGUUAUCCGGAUUUACUGGGCAUAAAGGGCAUCUAGGCGGCGAAAUAAGUCAGGGGUGAAAGAACGGGGCUCAACUCCGUAAAGCCUUUGAAACUGUUUUGCUAGAGUACGGGAGAGGAAGGCGGAACUACAAGUGUAGAGGUGAAAUUCGUAGAUAUUUGUAGGAAUGCCGAUGACGAAGGUAGCUUUCUGGACCGAAACUGACGCUGAAGUGCGAAAGCUAGGGUAGCAAACGGGAUUAGAUACCCCGGUAGUCCUAGCUGUAAACGAUGAUUACUGGGUGUGGGCGUUAGAAGCGUCUGUGCCGAAGCAAAUGCGAUAAGUAAUCCGCCUGGGGAGUACGACCGCAAGGUUGAAACUCAAAGGAAUUGACGGGGACCCGCACAAGCGGUGGAGCAUGUGGUUUAAUUCGACGCAACGCGAGGAAUCUUACCAGGACUUGCCAUCCCAAGAAUGAUUUAGAGAUAGAUCAGUGCCUCUUUGAGGAACUUGGUGACUGGUGGUGCAUGGCUCUCGUCAGCUCGUGUCGUGAGAUGUUGGGUUAAGUCCCGCAACGAGCGCAACCCCUAUAGCUAGUUGCUAACAUUAAGUUGAGGACUCUAGUUAGACUGCCUGCGACGAGCAGGAGGAAGGUGGGGAUGACGUCAAGUCAUCAUGCCCCUUAUGUUCUGGGCUACACACGUGCUACAAUGGAUAGUACAAAGAGGAGCAAGCAUGCGAGUGUGAGCAAAUCUCAAAAAGCUAUUCUCAGUUCGGAUUGAAGUCUGCAACUCGACUUCAUGAAGUUGGAAUCGCUAGUAAUCGCGAAUCAGCAAUGUCGCGGUGAAUACGUUCUCGGGUCUUGUACACACCGCCCGUCACACCACGAGAGUUUGUUGCACCUGAAGUAGCUGGCCUAACCUGUAAAGGGGGGAAGUUCCUAAGGUGUGAUAAGUGAUUGGGGUGAAGUCGGAACAAGGUA
rnacentral:rRNA from 1 species